CUGAAGGCGGGUGGGGGCAGCCGCGCUCGCCAAUGAAAGGCACCGGUGCGGGCGGCGCGCCCUGGGCGAGCGGCGGGCGCGGUGCGGGAUGGAGCUGAGCCCCGGUGUGCAGAAGAUGUCGGUGAGCCAGCCGCAGUCAGGAAGAGGUGUGCCGUGUUUACGCUGCAGAGGGACAUGCACGGGCUUCGAGCCACAUUCCUGGAGGAAAAUCUGUAAGUCGUGCAAAUGCAGCCAGGAGGAUCACAGCCUGAGCUCGGACGUGGAGGACGAUCGGAAAAUUGGGCGCCUGCUGUCAGACUCCAAGUAUGCCACGCUCACCGCCCGGGUGAAAGGAGGUGAUGGCGUUCGCAUUUACAAAAGGAACCGCAUGAUCAUCACCAACCCCAUCAUCUCUCGGAAAGACCCCACCUUUGACACCAUCACAUAUGAGUGGGCUCCACCGGGGCUCACCCAGAAGCUGGCCAUGCAGUACAUGGAGCUGAUCCCGAAGGAGAUGCAGCCGGUGGCGGGGACGGAUGGGGCAUACUAUCGCCGGCGGCAGCUGAUGAGACAGCUCCCGCUGUACGACCAGGACCCGUCCCAGUGCCGCGGCCUCACUGAGGGCGAGCUGAAGCUGAUGGAAGACUUUGUGAAGAAGUACAAAGCCGAGGCACUGGGCGUUGGGGAGGUGGCACUGCCGGGCCAGGGCGGCGGUGGGAAGGAGGAAGGGAAGCCGCAGGACAAGAGCAUCGCUGCCGGCAAACCCCCGGAGUCCACCAACGGGGCCCUGGAGAGCGCGCCCGCGGGAGGGCACUACUGCUGCGAGACCUGCAAGCAGCCGGUGCCGGCGGACUGCCCGGUGGUCUACGCCGACAGGGCGGGCUACUCCUGCCAGUGGCACCCGGCGUGCUUCGUCUGCUGCCGCUGCUCCGAGCCCCUCGUCGACCUCAUCUACUUCUGGAAGAGCGGGGCCGCCUGGUGUGGACGCCACUACUGCGAGAGCCUCCGGCCACGCUGUGCCGGCUGCGACGAGAUCAUCUUCUCGGAGGACUACCAGCAGGCAGAAGGGAUGACCUGGCACAAGAAGCACUUCGCCUGCCUGGAGUGUGAGACGCUGCUGACCGGCAAACCCUUUACUCUGGACAACGCCAGCCUCCUGUGCACAACCUGCAGCAAAAGCAAACGCCUCUGAGCGGGGAGCAGCCUGGGGGCAAAGCGGGCUCCCCGAGGUCCCACCAGAACUGGGGUCAUUUCUCGAGUAAAUGAGAAGGGGAAGGUUAAAAAAAAAAUUAGAGCCUGGAUAUUCACUUGCAAGCAACUAAGUGCCCCCUUGCAUCCUAUACAGCUUGCAGGAGAAUAUUUCCUUGGGCAGGAUGCAAAGAAAACUUGUACACCUGCGGGUGAGAAGUACAUGGCAUAUCUGACUAGGAGGGACUGAAAAGGAGGUUCUGUGUUAUGCUGGUUUUUUAUAAAGUCUCUCUAAGCUUCUUAUGACUAAGAUCUUGCAAUAGUCUUUUGGAAAUAACGCAUCUCAAAAGUAACUUUUGGCAUGCUAAACCUAUGGUCAUGGUCAAAAACAAGGGUGGUUCAUAUUUUUUGAAAUCCAUACUGGAAGUUUACACUAACAGAGUGCUGACAACUGUACUAAAGCAGUGGGUUUGAAGAGUUUGAUUAACCUGGGUGAUUACUUUCUGAAAGCAAAUGAUAGAAAAUUGCAGCAACAUGUAGCUGUAGCUUUCUCCUCCUAAGAGUACAAUAAUGUAAAAAUAACGAGUUGGCACACAGGGCAAUUGGUUUAACCCUGUUGAGAUGGGAAGGGUGCAGCUCUGCCACAGGGCAGCUGACUGGCCCAACCCAUGUGAGCUUUAGCCCCGAAACUGGAAUGCAAAAGCAUUCCUGGCAGGUCCCUCCGACCCGACUGGGCUCCCCAGCCUCUCGCCUGCCUCCGACUGCCUGUUACUGCAGGCGAGCGUGUUUCCACAGAGCAGCAUUGUGUUCCUACUGCGAUGCUGGAGGCCGUUAAGCAUUUAAAGUAUGGGCCUUUAUUUUGGCUGGGUUUGACCAGGAAUUUUAUGGAAAACAGCUUUCCAGCCUAAGCUGUCUGGGGGGGGGUGGGGGGAGACACGGUGCCUGAAAUGCUGCAAUGCCAGUUUUUCCCCUGUAACAUGUCAAUGACCCCCUCCAAGUACAAGGGAGCCGUACCUUCCCCUGGGAGCUGGCAGCACCCUCGCCCUGGGCUCUGCCCUGCUCCUUGUCCUGCAGCUCUCCUGUCCCUAGGGGAGGUCCCCGUCACCUCUUGGAUCUGAUGGGGUGACACCAUCCCAGGAUCCGGCACUGAGUCUCUGCGGAUAGUAUUUGUUCCCUACAUCAAGCGAUGCUUCUGGUAGUCACUGAAAAUAUCAGAUAGUCCAGGCUGGCAGAUGUCUCUGUGCUCAGUCUUUUUUCUUAUGUUAAAUGUCUACAUUAUUUGCCAGAGAACUGGAAUAUUUUUUUGCCAAGGUGAGUGUGCAAGGAGCUCACAAUUGCUAGGUUUUCUUUCUGCUACAGAAGAUGCUGGUUUCUCUUUAAAGCAUGCUCCGUGCUGUGGAUGUUUGCUUGCCUAUGAUAAAAUAACUUGCAAAUGAGAGUUGGGGGAAAUUGUACCUGCUGCAGGGUUAGAGCGUGCGAGCUGUGGGCCGGACUCUGCCCCUCCGCUGGGUUCAUCGGGGGAUGCCCCGCUCCGCUGCUGGGGAGGAGCAGGCCAAGUCCACCACUGUCUUUGAGUAGGUGAGACCGACGUGGUGUAAAGACAUAUCUGUACGGGGGGUGCAAGUGCCUCUUGCGCUUUGUCCAGCCCUGUGCUGUUGCAUGGCUGAUGUUCCUGGAAACGCUGGGGGAUUUAAAGAGAGUAAAUGAAAUGCUGCUGCUGGAGCAGAGCAGGAAAAUCUCGAGGUGGCAGCUGUAGCUGUGGGGGGGAUGGAUGGGUGUUGCAGGGUAUGGUGGUGCACAUGUUUCUGGGGUCAUUUGUCCAUCUCGAGUUAGUCAGUGGAUGCGUUGAGUGCCUGGGGGUGUUGCUUCUGUAAACUCGGAUGCUGCAAGUCAAGAGAGGAUGAGUAGACCUGAAGUUGUGCUAGGUAUAAUAAAGCUCCCUUGGAUCAGCCUCAGAUACAGGCACUUUGGUUAUAAGUAAAGUGGGAAUGAAAAAUAAAGCCCAGCGCUUAGCUUUACUGCCUCUUCUUCAUUUUGUUACAAGCGAAAUGUCUUUACAUCUUUGUGAAUUUUUUUUUUAAGACGCAUUGUUGUUCUAAACCCUGCAAUGUUAAGGUAGCCAAAAGUGCAUGCGCUCAGUGUAAGCAGUGACAGGAAUAGUGUGAAUCACCUAUGAAACACUAUUUCAGCACAGGCAUUAACAUCUAAAACAGCAUUCCCUGAUGGAAGGUCAGUGUCCAUCUGUGCACACAGCUAGUUACCUCUUAGAGUGAUUUGCCUAGGAGGUAGGUGCACAGCCAUUACACAGAUGCCUGGAAGAAAAUUAAAUGCCAAAAAAAAAAAAGUCAACAAAACAUCAAGUUUUUAAAAGUGAAAGACUAGUAACUAAACUACUGCUAUCACAGAAAACUCAAUAACAUGCUGCAGUCUUCUCCCUGGGUGUUUUUGGUUUGUUUUGCCUCAGCUGGCUGCGUGAUCCUUGAAGGGUUUGUGAUACAAUAAGCACGGGGAAGGGUGAGCUGGACUCCGACCACAGCGGGGUGUUCCUUCAACUGCGGGAACUGGGAUGCUGGCUGUUGGCCGAGCCUGCUCCAGAGCUGCCGAGGGAUCCCCCUUCCACCACAGCCGGGGUUAAAACACUAGUAGAGGCUCGCAGGGAGGCGGUGGAGAAGAGGUGGUGCUUGUUUUCUCUGCUGCAGAAGAAUGUGCGUGGUGGGAACUUGGGUAAAUGUCAGAGCCGAGGCACGGGGAGAGGACAGGGUUUUGGGGGGAGCGCUGGCACCCCAGGGCGGCAGUGGGGAGGGGGUGUAAUGCCGAGAGCGGAGCCUGCCGCCCUGUGCAGCGCUGCAUUGCUGCCCACUGCGGUGGUGGGCGUCCCUGCCCUCGUCCUGGCUGUCGCUGCCGGGGGCUGUGAGGGCAGGGCUGCGUCAUCCCCACCACCCUCCCUGCGGUGGGACGGUCUCGGAGCGAGAGAGAGGUCCAGUCCGCUUUACGUGCAAGGAUUGUCCCUGGUGAUAUUGCCUUUGCUGGGCUUAUCUUACCGGACUGUGACCGCAGCCUACGCGCAGUAGCAUCAACUUCUGACGCAGUCUAUCUCCGUUAACGCAAUCCUCUGUCGCUAAUGCCUUUACUUGGCUACUUGGAAAAAAGAUACCACUGUAGCAUGUUCUGGUUUGGGUCUUGAUUUUGUGAUCUUUAAAUUGUAAUUCUUCCCCUCUGAAGUCCCUCUUUCAGCAUACACGUGCUUGCUUCAGGCUUUUUGGACUGCUGGCAUCCACUUGAGCCUUUCAGGUAUUUCUGCAGCUUGUAAAAUACUGUCUGCCAAAAAAUCUACUGCAAUUAAACAGCUUAACAAAAUCCUGUGCCUCUCAAGUGUCAGGAGCAAAAGCGUGAAAUUAAUGCAUCUAACAGCUCAAAACAUAUGUGAGUCUUUAGUUUUGAUACUAAAAUUGAAAUUCAGUGUAAGCAUGAGAAGAUGAUCACCCCAAGUGAAGACGUUCACCCCAAGUGAAGACAUUGUGCUGUGUUUUGCUAUGGUUUAUCAUCUAGAACGAAGGAGGCUGCUGCAGCUGCCUUCUGCAGGUCACGAGCUCUGGUUUUCAAGAAAGUUAAAUUUACGGGGGUAUCCUGGUCUGUCUUAUAGAGAGCUGUCAGCGAGCAUUAUACGGAGGGUCUGUACAGAAAAUUGAUAAAAAUUGAGAUGUUUCAUAGGUUUACUGUGUGUGACAGGAAUAGACUAAAGGCAAAGACUGUGUUGUGUGACUAUUUGAAAAGCAUCUUGUGCCACUGCUGUGUCCUGUCCAUCAUUUCAAAUAAAAGCUCCUGUACAAAGA